rnacentral:rRNA from 1 species
GAUGAACGCUAGCGGCAGGCCUAACACAUGCAAGUCGAACGGUAACAUGAGAGCUUGCUCUUGAUGACGAGUGGCGCACGGGUGCGUAACGCGUAUGCAAUCUACCUAUAACUGGAGGGAUAGCCCAUGGAAACGUGGAUUAAUACCUCAUAAUAUAAUUUAUUCGCAUGUUUAAAUUAUUAAAACUCCGGUGGUUAUAGAUGAGCAUGCGUCCUAUUAGCUAGUUGGUAAGGUAACGGCUUACCAAGGCAACGAUAGGUAGGGGGCCUGAGAGGGUGGUCCCCCACACUGGUACUGAGACACGGACCAG